rnacentral:tRNA from 1 species
AGCAGCAUGGCUCAGGGAGAAGAGCACGGGCUUGGGAGUCCGAGGUCAUGGGUUCGAAUCCCAGCUCUGCCA